UACAGAGGUCUCAAGCGUUGUUCGGAUUCAUUGGGCGUAAAGGGCGCGUAGGCGGCGCGAUAAGUCAAAGGUGAAAUCCCUCGGCUCAACUGAGGAACUGCCUUUGAGACUGUCGAGCUUGAGGCCGGGAGGGGGUAGCGGAAUUCCCAGUGUAGCGGUGAAAUGCGUAGAUAUUGGGAGGAACACCAGUGGCGAAGGCGGCUACCUGGACCGGUCCUGACGCUGAUGCGCGAAAGCGUGGGUAGCAAACAGG
rnacentral:rRNA from 1 species